GUUUGUGGACUAUAGCAGUCAUUUAAAAAUGUGGUUAUUGUUGUAACAUGGCCCUGUGUUCAGAAGACACUAUGAAUAGUUUGUAUUCCAAGAAACUAGAAGCUGCCACUGGGCAUAUCAUGUUUAGAAAAUCCUAGGCCUUUACAGAAAAGCUGCUAACCAUUUAACAAAUAUAUGUUAAGUUCCUACCAUAUGCCACACUGUUCUGGGCACUGGGUAUAGAGAUGUGAGCAAUAUUGUCUUGGUACCUGCCCACACAGAGCUUGCACUUUAAUGAGGAGGGAGGCAGGAUGUUAACAAAAUGCACACAAGUGUAUAAUCACAAAUUAUGACAGAUACCAUGAAAUGGUAUUGUAGCAUUUUAUAGGAGACUAAUAGGGUCCUACUUGGGAUUGGGUGAGUAAGUAAGGGAAUGGCUUUCUGAAGAAAUGGCAUUUACAGUGAGAUCUAAAGGAUGAGAGAUUUGGGGGACCUGGCUGGCUCAGUUGGUAGAGCGUAUGACUCUUGAUCUCAGGGUUGUGAGUUCAGACCCCACUUUGGGUGUAGAACUCAUUAAAAAAAAGGAGGGGGGGCUUAGUUGGUUAAACAUCAGCCUUUGGCUCGGGUUGUGAUCCUGCAGUCUUGGGAUCGAGCCCCACAUCAGGCUCUCACUCAGUGGGGAGUCUGUUUCUCCCCCUGCUUAUACUCUCUCUCUCUCAAAUAAAAUCUUUAAAAACUAAACAAAGAGUAUGAGAAAUUAGCUGGGUAAGAGAGGAGAGGGAAGGAGUCUGUGAAGGUCUUGAAGCAGAAUUUCACAGGAAGGCAUCUCUAGUCCUUUUUACCCUCACUACAGGGAAGCAAGGAGAACUAUUCAGGAAAAAAUUAUAGCACAGGACUUAAACAACAACAACAACAACACCAACAACAACAACACCAAACCAACAAAUUUAAAGAGCAUGGAAAGGAUAGCAUCCUAUGUGACUUAGGCAAAGGAUUUUUAAUUGUGUUUCUUUAUAAGUCGCCUUCAAACUAUAUGUAAUGUUCGCAUAACUUCCUUUCUUUCAAAAAGAGUUAAAAACCAUAGCUUGGCUUAGCCUAAAUAAUUAUUAAUGUCGAAUAAUUCAAAAUCCAUUAGCCAGGGGAUCCCCGGUACUACUGUUUUCUUGCUCCUCUAGUCUCUCUUCUGGGACAGAGGGAGGGGCAGUAUAUUGGCCUACAGUCCCUGACCUCAUCUGGCUGACAGUCUAAUUCAGAAGCAGACAUUGAAGAAGUCAUCAUCAAUGUCGAGAGUGGAUUAUAUUUUUCCUCAUUAGAGUUUGAAAGAAGCAUUGGGUGCUAUGGGAGUGUAAAAGACUCAAUGAGUAUAGGGCAGCAGGAAAAGUCUCGCUGAAGAAAUAGUUAAGGAGGCAUCUAGGAUGACUAUGCAUCCCUCUCUUGUUCCUCCUCCACCGCAGACCAGCGUUAGCACCCAAUCCUGCUUGAAUGAAUCCAUUCAGCAACCUAAGAGGCCCCACUCUGUGUCAGGCCCUAUGCUGUUGGGUCUGGAUAAAAUUAAUCCAGCUUUAUGCUUUUUAGUAGACUUCACAAACUGUAAGAACCACUCAGUAGGGAGGUACUAUGUCUGUGUUAGUUAUCUACUACUGUGUAACAAAUUACCUCAAAAUUUAGUGCGUUGAAACAGUAAAUAUUAUCUCAUACAGUUUCUGUGAGCCAGGAAUCCAGAUGUACUGUAUUUGGGUGUUUCUGGCUCUAGAUCUUUAAUGAGGUUGCAGUCAAGAUGUUGGCUAGGGCUGAAGUCAUUUGAAAGCUUGUCUGGUGCUAUUGCCAUGUGGACCUCUCCAUUGGGCUGCUUGAGUGUCCUCAUGACAUGGUGACUGGCUUCCCUGGAGUGUGAUCUAAGAGAACAAGGUGGAAGCUGCAAUGUCUUUUAGGACCUAGCCCCAGAAGCCCCACACAGUUAUUUCUAAAAUAUCCUUUUGGGUCCACAGUUCAGCCCUCUUCCAAAUGGGAACUAAAAAGGAUGUGAAUAAUCAGGAAUGGGAAUCACUGGGGGCCAUUUUGGAGGCUGUCUACCAGUGCCUUCGGAGUUUGGGUUUAAGUCUUGACUGCAGUGCAACUAAUUGUGGGAUCUUGGGAAAGUUCCUUUACUCUCCUGGCCCUGCCAUUUUACUUACUCACCUUGCAUGGCAGUUGUGGUAUAGCUAAGCCUUUAGUGAAAGCCAUUUAUCUAAGCCUUUUAACUUCACACACAGAUAUUAGCAAUCCUUAAAGAAGGGGAGGAAGAAAAGCCAUUUGGGCCAGGGUAUAAACUGUUUUCAUUAUAAAACAUUGAAAAGGAAGAAAUAACAUCAUCACAUUAGCACCACCACUCUUAGAAUUUUGGUGUUAAAAUGCAUUUUAAAGUUUCUUUUCAAAAAAAAUUUUUUUUCUUUUCCUUCUUUGCAGAGAAAGAUGAAAUGGAUUAAAUUGAGACCAGAAAGAUUUAUAGUAGGAAGGAGUACAUCUCUCUGGCAUUAAGAGAGAUUAAAAAUUGGGAUGGGCUUCUUAGCGAGGUCUUAAAAUCUCCAUCUGAAAAUCUUAAAGAAUCUGGCAGGGGGCUGAUAUUUUCCACGAUUUUGGUAAAAACUAGGUCAGGUCAUCCUUUGAGACCAUUUUAUAGGGGGUCCCACAAAUCUUCUUAAAUGAAAUGGAAGAAUUAUUAUUAAAAGAUGUCUUACACUGUUGAACAUCAAACUUUUUAUUUUUUCAACACACUCA
rnacentral:lncRNA from 1 species